rnacentral:rRNA from 1 species
AACGAACGCUGGCGGCAGGCCUAACACAUGCAAGUCGAACGCCGUAGCAAUACGGAGUGGCAGACGGGUGAGUAACGCGUGGGAACAUACCCCUCGGUUCGGAAUAACUUAGGGAAACUUGAGCUAAUACCGGAUACGUCCGAGGUUUUAACCGGCCUCGGAGAAAGAUUUAUCGCCGGAGGAUUGGCCCGCGCCUGAUUAGCUUGUUGGUGAGGUAAUGGCUCACCAAGGCGACGAUCAGAGCUGGUCUGAGAGGAUGAUCAGCCACAUUGGGACUGAGACACGGCCCAAACUCCUACGGGAGGCAGCAGUGGGGAAUACUGGACAAUGGGCGAAAGCCUGAUCCAGCCAUGCCGCGUGAGGGAUGACGGCCUGG